UACGAAGGGGGCGAGCGUUGUUCGGAUUUACUGGGCGUAAAGGGCGCGCAGGCGGCGGAUCAAGUCAGGCGUGAAAGCCCCGGGCUUAACCUGGGAGGUGCGUCUGGGACUGAUUUGCUAGAGAUCGGGAGAGGAGAGUGGAAUUCCCAGUGUAGAGGUGAAAUUCGUAGAUAUUCGCAAGAACACCAGUGGCGAAGGCGGCUCACUGGCCCAUUACUGACGCUGAGGCACGAAAGCGUGGGGAGCAAACAGGG
rnacentral:rRNA from 1 species